AGCGGCGGAUGGGUGAGUAACACGAGGGGAACCUGCCCCUAAGUCUGGGAUACCAUUUGGAAACAGGUGCUAAUACCGGAUAAUAAAGCAGAUCGCAUGAUCAGCUUUUGAAAGGCGGCGUAAGCUGUCGCUAAGGGAUGGCCCCGCGGUGCAUUAGCUAGUUGGUAAGGUAACGGCUUACCAAGGCGACGAUGCAUAGCCGAGUUGAGAGACUGAUCGGCCACAUUGGGACUGAGACACGGCCCAAACUCCUACGGGAGGCAGCAGUAGGGAAUCUUCCACAAUGGACGCGAGUCUGAUGGAGCAACACCGCGUGAGUGAAGAAGGUUUUCGGAUCGUAAAGCUCUGUUGUUGGUGAAGAAGGAUAGAGGUAGUAACUGGCCUUUAUUUGACGGUAAUCAACCAGAAAGUCACGGCUAACUACGUGCCAGCAGCCGCGGUAAUACGUAGGUGGCAAGCGUUGUCCGGAUUUAUUGGGCGUAAAGCGAGCGCAGGCGGAAAAAUAAGUCUAAUGUGAAAGCCCUCGGCUUAACCGAGGAACUGCAUCGGAAACUGUUUUUCUUGAGUGCAGAAGAGGAGAGUGGAACUCCAUGUGUAGCGGUGGAAUGCGUAGAUAUAUGGAAGAACACCAGUGGCGAAGGCGGCUCUCUGGUCUGCAACUGACGCUGAGGCUCGAAAGCAUGGGUAGCGAACAGGAUUAGAUACCCUGGUAGUCCAUGCCGUAAACGAUGAGUGCUAAGUGU
rnacentral:rRNA from 1 species